UUCUUGUACAUCUCAACAUUGGAUAAUUCGAUCCUCAUCGAACUUCUCCUCAUUUUCUCUCUGCUGUCACUGAAAGGUUCAAUCUUGCUCUCUUUUCCUUACUCUUUCAAAUUCAGUCUUUUUUUUAUUCGUACCCAUGUAAAUUGGUAUUCUUCUGUGAGUUUGGUUUGUGCUUUUAAGAUAGAUUGAAGCUUGUGUCUUGCUUAAUUUGGGAUACAAAGCUGAAAGUUUUAAUUUUUUGUGAAGUAUAAUUGUCCUGCUUAAGAUAGAGAUUGGAACGAGGAGAAAUUUAAUUUUGGUGGAUGAACUCUGUUAUUCUUAUUUUUUGA
rnacentral:lncRNA from 1 species